rnacentral:rRNA from 2 species
GAAUGCUGACAUAAGUAACGAUAAAGCGGGUGAAAAGCCCGCUCGCCGGAAGACCAAGGGUUCCUGUCCAACGUUAAUCGGGGCAGGGUGAGUCGACCCCUAAGGCGAGGCCGAAAGGCGUAGUCGAUGGGAAACGGGUUAAUAUUCCCGUACUUGGUGUUACUGCGAAGGGGGGACGGAGAAGGCUAUGUUGGCCGGGCGACGGUUGUCCCGGUUUAAGCGUGUAGGUGUGUGUUCCAGGUAAAUCCGGUUCACUUUAACACUGAGGCGUGACGACGAGGCACUACGGUGCUGAAGCAACAAAU